rnacentral:lncRNA from 1 species
CGACAUCGAAAGAUGAUGUUUACCGACAUCAAAAAAGGACGAUCAGACAUUUACCGAUAACUGGGACGAGACUCGAUGUUUACCGACAUCGAAAGAUGAUGUUUACCGACAUCAAAAAUAGAUGACCAGACAUUUACCGAUGACUGGGAAAGAACUCGAUGUUUACCGACAUCGAACGAUGAUGUUUACCGACACCAAAGAAAGAACA